ACCGGCGCACGGGUGCGUAACGCGUAUACAUCUACCUCUUACUAGAGAAUACCCCAGAGAAAUUUGGAAUAAUGCUCUAUAAUCUCGCAUGAGUAAAGGUUACGGUAGGAGAUGAGUAUGCGUCCUAUUAGCUAGAUGGUAAGGUAACGGCUUACCAUGGCUACGAUAGGUAGGGGUCCUGAGAGGGAGAUCCCCCACACUGGUACUGAGACACGGACCAGACUCCUACGGGAGGCAGCAGUGAGGAAUAUUGGGCAAUGGAGGCAACUCUGACCCAGCCAUGCCGCGUGCAGGAUGACUGCCUAUGGGUUGUAAACUGCUUUUAUAUAGGAAGAAACCUUCUCUCGUGAGAGAACUUGACGGUACUAUAUGAAUAAGGACCGGCUAACUCCGUGCCAGCAGCCGCGGUAAUACGGAGGGUCCAAGCGUUAUCCGGAAUCAUUGGGUUUAAAGGGUCCGUAGGCGGACAAUUAAGUCAGAGGUGAAAUCUUGCAGCUCAACUGUAAAAUUGCCUUUGAUACUGGUUGUCUUGAGUCACAUUGAAGUAGAUAGAAUAUGUAGUGUAGCGGUGAAAUGCUUAGAGAUUACAUAGUAUACCGUUUGCGACGGCAGUCUACUAAGUGUUGACUGACGCUGAUGGACGAAAGCGUGGGGAGCGACCAGAUAGAUACCCUUGUAGUUCCCACC
rnacentral:rRNA from 1 species